rnacentral:ncRNA from 1 species
GUCAAGUUUUAUUCUUGCUUAUUUCGUUCAUUGUUUGUUUGUUCUAUAUGUAAGUUUGUGCAUGAUUUUUAAUUGGGUUUUAGAUAGGUUCAAUUAUUGUUUUUUUUGUUAUUCUCAUUAGUUGUUAUUAGUUGAUCAAGUGUUCUUGUAUUUAGCAAUGCAUUUAGUUUCGGUUAAAUUUUGUGCCAGCAGCCGCGGUUAUACUUUGGAAGCGUUUGAAUGUGUUUGGCAUUAGGUAGUUGUAAUAUUUAGUUUUAGUUGAUUAUAUUGUGGUUAUUGUUGGGUGAAAUUUUUAUUGUUAUUGUUUUCUUAUUUUUAUUUGGAGGCUAUGAAAUUCUAAUAUUUAAACUAGGAUUAGAUACCCUAUUAUUUUAGGACGUUAAUGUUUUAUUUGCCGGAGUAGUAUUAGUUAUGUUCUUGAAACUUAAAGAAUUUGGCGGUAUCUCAUUCCAUUCAGAGGAAUCUGUCUCGUUAUCGAUAGUCCACGUUGGACCUUACUUAGUUGUUAUAUGGUUUGUAUACCGCCGUUUAUUGAUUAUCUUUUUAGAGUUUUUAAUUUUCUUGUUUCUUUAUUUUGAUUUAUUUCAGGUCAAGGUGCAGCUUGUUUCUAAGUGAAUGAUGGAUUACAUUGUUAUUUGUUAUUUGGAUUGUUAUGGGUUUAAAUACUGACAUGAAAUUGGAUUUGGUUGUAAUUUAUUUGCAGAUUGUUAUUGUGAUAAUGGUUCUGAGAUAUGUACACAUCGCCCGUCGCUCUCGUUUAUGUUGUUAAUGAGAUAAGUCGUAACAAAGUGGUUGUACCGGAAGGUGUAGCUGGAUUGGU